rnacentral:tRNA from 1 species
UCCUGGUUAGUUCAGUUGGUAGAGCGCUCCACUGGAAAUGGAGAGGUCCCUGGUUCGAAACCAAGACCAG